rnacentral:lncRNA from 1 species
AUGGCUAUAAAAUAGUCUGGGCACUGGGUGUCCGAGGCAUUCAGAAAACUUUUCAAUUUCUCUCUAUUGCUCUCUCUUCUAUCUAACAACCUAUCUUAGGUUUAGGACAAGGCUUUAAGAUUUAAAACAAAGCCUUAUCUGAUUCAGAAAAAGAUUGUGAAGAUUAAAAGCAGAGGAUUCAGAAGUCUAGAGGAGGUUCUAAGAGAGUCGAGUUAGGUUCUUAGAAAAACUUGAUCGAUACAGGG